rnacentral:rRNA from 1 species
GCACGCAGGCGGUCUGUCAAGUCGGAUGUGAAAUCCCCGGGCUCAACCUGGGAACUGCAUUCGAAACUGGCAGGCUGGAGUCUUGUAGAGGGGGGUAGAAUUCCAGGUGUAGCGGUGAAAUGCGUAGAGAUCUGGAGGAAUACCGGUGGCGAAGGCGGCCCCCUGGACAAAGACUGACGCUCAGGUGCGAAAGCGUGGGGAGCAAACAGGAUUAGAUACCCUGGUAGUCCACGCUGUAAACGAUGUCGACUUGGAGGUUGUUCCCUUGAGGAGUGGCUUCCGGAGCUAACGCGUUAAGUCGACCGCCUGGGGAGUACGGCCGCAAGGUUAAAACUCAAAUGAAUUGACGGGGGCCCGCACAAGCGGUGGAGCAUGUGGUUUAAUUCGAUGCAACGCGAAGAACCUUACCUACUCUUGACAUCCAGAGAACUUAGCAGAGAUGCUUUGGUGCCUUCGGGAACUNUGAGACAGGUGCUGCAUGGCUGUCGU